AUGUGGAUGAAAAAGAAACACGUGGCAGUUACACAAAGUGCUGUCACUAUAGCCUUACUUCCGUUAUUGCAAGUCGAGAAACCAAACCUUGAAGAGCUGUGUCUAGGGUCACACAGCCAGGAAUUUGUCGGCUUGAGGGCAGGGCUAGGCAUUGAGGGACAGUGGGACUUGGAUGAGCAGACGCAGCGGGGAGAGAGCUCCCGGGCUAGACAAGGAGAAGAUGGUACAGAAUUGCCUGCAGGGGACCGUGGAUAUUCUAAGUGUGUGAAAAAUGCCUGUUCAUACUAAGUGAAGUUAGUCAGACAGUGAAAAACAAACAUCAUAUGAUGCCGCUUAUAUGCGAAAUCUAAAAAAAGGAUACAAAUCAACUUAUUUGCAGAACAGAAACAGAGUCACAGACUGAAAAACUUAUGGUUACCGAAGGGAACAGAUGGCGGCGGGAUGGGCUGGGGGGGUUGGAAUUGGCAUAUGCACACCAAGGUACAGGGAAUGAUUGGCCAAUGGGGACCUGCUGUAGAGCACAGGGAACUCUACCCAAUGUUCUGUGAUCAUCUAUGUGGGAAAAGAAUCUGAGAAAGAAUGGAUGUAUGUACUUGUAUCAUCACUUUGUUGUGCAGCAGAUGUUAUCACAACCUUGGAAAUCAACGAGGCUUCAAUAAUUUUUUUUUUUUUAAGCGUGCCCAUACUGAGCA
rnacentral:lncRNA from 1 species